CUUCAUGAUUUCAUAGUUUUGAUGUCUUCACUAUUAUUCUACAAUGUAGAAAAUUCAAAAAAUAAAGAAAAACCCUUGAAUGAGUAGUUGUCCAAACUUUUUUGACUGGUACUAUACAUGCACAAUUCUUUGCCACAAAUGUCUUUCAACAAUGUCAAUGCAAGCAUUAUCAGCACAACAGUGUAACAAGGACAUUCGUACCUCUGCUUUCCCCAGAACCAAAGGAAAGUGGUGGAGGUGGUAGAGGAGGUGGAGGAGGGAGCAGUGGUGGGCCAGGGGGAGGCCUUUUCGCUGGGGGCAUGCCAAAACUACGAUCAGUUGGAGCUGGAGACGCCUCAGUGGGCAGAUCCGCCCUGCGUCCCCCAGGCUCCAGACCUGCAGCCCCCCGGUCCACCCCAGGCCGAUCUACCUCCCCCUCCCCAGGAGACAAACCCUCCCCAGGAGACAAACCCUCCCCAAGAGACAAACCCUCCCCCCCGGAGCCCCAGCGCUCCCACCGCCCCUCUCUCCCCGACAUCUCCCGCCCCCCAACCAGUGCCAGCUCAUCCCACUCCUCCACUGGGGGCAUGAAGCACAGUACUUCAGGCUCAGCUCCGCCCCCUCCUUCAGGCAUGAAACACAGCACAUCAGCCCCACCCGCUCCACCUUCUUCGACAGGGGGCUUGAAGCCCAGCACAUCCGCCCCAGCUCCUCCCCCGCCGUUUAACCGAGGUGGUUACCGCAGCAAUGCCCCGUUAACCCCGCAACAAAAGGCCCCAGUAGGCCCCAACAACAGCCGGGAGAAGCCCCUCCCCCCGCCGCCGCAAAGAGGCCCGGCUCCGCCCAGCUCUGGUCCCCCUCCUUCAUCGAGACCGCCUCCUUCCUCCACACGGCCACCCACUGGGGGGUCCUCGGCACCCCCUCCGCCCCCGCCUUACAGGCAACCCUCUGGGGGCACCUCCAAUGGCCCCAUGGGGCACCCUGUUGGAGAUGGGGCUCCGAAACUUCCCCAGAGGCACAACUCACUGCACAAGAAGAACUCCUCAGGCGGCAGCUACGGCGGACGCAAUCAUGCACCUCCUCCACCCCCCUCGCCAUCUGCAGGACCUCCAGGGGUUGGCAGACCACCCCCACCCGCCAGGGAGCCCCCCAGCAAGAGAUCAGGUACUAGAACACAGCUCAAUGUUUGUAUUGGGGAGCCAUAA
rnacentral:lncRNA from 1 species